AAUGAACGCUGGCGGCAUGCCUAACACAUGCAAGUCGAACGAAGUCCUUCGGGGCUUAGUGGCGCACGGAUGCGUAACGCGUGGGAAUCUGCCCCUUGGUUCGGAAUAACAGUUGGAAACGACUGCUAAUACCGGAUGAUGACGUAAGUCCAAAGAUUUAUCGCCGAGGGAUGAGCCCGCGUAGGAUUAGGUAGUUGGUGUGGUAAAGGCGCACCAAGCCGACGAUCCUUAGCUGGUCUGAGAGGAUGAUCAGCCACACUGGGACUGAGACACGGCCCAGACUCCUACGGGAGGCAGCAGUGGGGAAUAUUGGACAAUGGGCGAAAGCCUGAUCCAGCAAUGCCGCGUGAGUGAUGAAGGCCUUAGGGUUGUAAAGCUCUUUUACCCGGGAUGAUAAUGACAGUACCGGGAGAAUAAGCUCCGGCUAACUCCGUG
rnacentral:rRNA from 1 species